AUUGAACGCUGGCGGCAGGCCUAACACAUGCAAGUCGAACGGAACCUUCGGGUUUAGUGGCGAACGGGUGAGUAAUGCCUAGGAAUCUGCCUAUUAGUGGGGGAUAACGAAUCGAAAGGUUCGCUAAUACCGCAUACGUCCUACGGGAGAAAGAGGGGGAUCUUCGGACCUCUUGCUAAUAGAUGAGCCUAGGUCGGAUUAGCUAGUUGGUGAGGUAAAGGCUCACCAAGGCGACGAUCUGUAGCUGGUCUGAGAGGAUGGCCAGCCACACUGGAACUGAGACACGGUCCAGACUCCUACGGGAGGCAGCAGUGGGGAAUAUUGGACAAUGGGCGCAAGCCUGAUCCAGCCAUGCCGCGUGUGUGAAGAAGGCCCUCGGGUUGUAAAGCACUUUAAGCGAGGAGGAAGGUCAUCAUACUAAUAUUAUGAUGAAUUGACGUUACUCGCAGAAUAAGCACGGCUAACUCUGUGCCAGCAG
rnacentral:rRNA from 1 species